CUAGCUGGUCUGAGAGGAUGACCAGCCACACUGGAACUGAGACACGGUCCAGACUCCUACGGGAGGCAGCAGUGGGGAAUAUUGCACAAUGGGCGCAAGCCUGAUGCAGCCAUGCCGCGUGUAUGAAGAAGGCCUUCGGGUUGUAAAGUACUUUCAGCGGGGAGGAAGGGAGUAAAGUUAAUACCUUUGCUCAUUGACGUUACCCGCAGAAGAAGCACCGGCUAACUCCGUGCCAGCAGCCGCGGUAAUACGGAGGGUGCAAGCGUUAAUCGGAAUUACUGGGCGUAAAGCGCACGCAGGCGGUUUGUUAAGUCAGAUGUGAAAUCCCCGGGCUCAACCUGGGAACUGCAUCUGAUACUGGCAAGCUUGAGUCUCGUAGAGGGGGGUAGAAUUCCAGGUGUAGCGGUGAAAUGCGUAGAGAUCUGGAGG
rnacentral:rRNA from 1 species